rnacentral:rRNA from 1 species
UCGGGAAUUUUGGGCAAUGGGCGAAAGCCUGACCCAGCAACGCCGCGUGAAGGAUGAAGUAUUUCGGUAUGUAAACUUCGAAAGAAUGGGAAGAAUAAAUGACGGUACCAUUUAUAAGCUCCGGCUAACUACGUGCCAGCAGCCGCGGUAAUACGUAGGGAGCAAGCGUUGUUCGGAUUUACUGGGCGUAAAGGGCGCGUAGGCGGCGUGUUAAGUCAGCUGUGAAAUCUCCAAGCUCAACUUGGAACGGCCAGCUGAUACUGAUGUGCUAGAGUGCAGAAGGGGCAAUCGGAAUUCUUGGUGUAGCGGUGAAAUGCGUAGAUAUCAAGAGGAACACCUGAGGUAAAGACGGGUUGCUGGGCUGACACUGACGCUGAGGCGCGAAAGCCAGGGGAGCAAACGG